ACUCCUGCGGGAGGCAGCAGUGAGGAAUAUUGGACAAUGGGUGGAAGCCUGAUCCAGCCAUCCCGCGUGCAGGAAGACGGCCCUAUGGGUUGUAAACUGCUUUUAUCUGGGGAUAAACCUACUUACGUGUAAGUAGCUGAAGGUACCAGAAGAAUAAGCACCGGCUAACUCCGUGCCAGCAGCCGCGGUAAUACGGAGGGUGCAAGCGUUAUCCGGAUUUAUUGGGUUUAAAGGGUCCGUAGGCGGACUGAUAAGUCAGUGGUGAAAUCCGACAGCUUAACUGUCGAACUGCCAUUGAUACUGUUAGUCUUGAGUAAGGUUGAAGUGGCUGGAAUAAGUAGUGUAGCGGUGAAAUGCAUAGAUAUUACUUAGAACACCAAUUGCGAAGGCAGGUCACUAAGUCUUAACUGACGCUGAUGGACGAAAGCGUGGGGAGCGAACAGGAUUAGAAACCCGAGUAGUCCCAUGA
rnacentral:rRNA from 1 species